CAACAGAAAGUUUCCACCUGUUGCACCUCCAUGUCCUUUAAAUACAUUCUGUACGAUACUCUAAAGUCUAAAGCGUUGUGAUAAGUUAACAUUAAUAGCAACAGUAGUGUGUUAAUGUAUAGAUAAAGGCACGAAUUCUUGAUAUUAUUUGGAUUUAUGUCUUUAAUAAGCACACCACGAUCAGAUUAUGCUCCUUUUACUUCCUAAUACAGUAUCAGGUUGAGUGAUUGUACCAGCUAGCUAAGAUGAACUGCAGCUUCCAUGUUUGCACAUGUAAUAUUUGCACAUUUAAUGGUCUCUGUUGAGUCAUGUCCAUUAUCACAGACAUUUGCAUACCUAAGCCCCUGGAAACAGUCAUCAAGCAGAAAGCUCUGCUUAAUCUUAAAGAGAAGCCUUUGCCCUCCCUCUUCCACAGUUAGAUCAGAGAUCAUACUUUGAUGAUAUUGCCUGGAAGCUUCCAGGUAAGAGUUCUGAGCAGCCUCUCUGUGAAGUGGAGCAGGAGGCACAGUGGCAGUGUGUGAGCUUGAAGAGAUGCCCUGGCCCCCCAGGGCUAGGCAGCACCUGAAUAAUACUUAGAGCGUGUAAAAAUUGCUGUGCCUUAAGUGGGUAGCAAACAUCUCAAGAAACUGAGGCUCUGAGCUUUAGUCCCUGGCUGUUAAUGUCUGCAAUUCUUCUUUCUUCUGGACUGUGUCUGCAACACUCACUGUUAUUUGUUUCACUGUACUUUCACUGUGUUGAAGAUUUGGUCCACAACCAUUAGAGCUAGAAGCGUUCAGUUUUAAUUGGAAAUUGACUCAAAUUAAACCAUACAACUCCUGUUCAACAAAGGCAUAUUAUUCUUGCUGAGCUUGCGCUCUGAUGACUGAUGUAUCUGUAGCUCUGUGGCUGAACUCUCAUACAGGCAGGAUCUAUCAGCACUCAUUGGAAAGAACCAGAAGGAAGCAGAGUAAGUUCUGGGGUUUGUUUUGCUGUAGAUAUUGCUGUUGCUUUCAUGUAAUUUCAGUUUUUAGCUGGGGCAAAGGAGUAUUUUAUGAUGGAAGAGCAACACAAAUUGGGCACAAAAUACUCUGAAUGGGAAGAAGCUCAAUACAACCAGAAUUGUUGAUACACACUGUUGAGUGUCAUAGGUGAACUAUAUGGGGAGAACAGUUACAGUGAUUCUCUUUGUUGGACAAUUUCUAUGCAGUGAUAGAGCUAAAAGAACAAAAUAAAGCAGUGGAAUGGGAGUGGAGGUAGACCCAGCACUGGCACUAUUUGCUCUCUUACAGUUCUGCCCACAGGAGAUGUGAAAAGAACUUUGUCCCUUUUGUGGCUGUGGGAGUGCGUGGGGUCAAUGAGGUAAAAGUAGGGAUGGCAAGGUUGAGUGCUCCUCAUCUGCUGUUUGUGUAAGGAUGUCAUGCUUUUCCUAUUCAAUACGCUGGCUUCUGAUAAACUGCUUUGCGUGUCAGCACCUUAUUUGUAGGGAAAGACUUAUUGGUUGGUAUUAUUGUUAAUGACCCUGAGGGAUAACACUUAAUUGCCAUGAUUCUAGGGGGGGACAUGAGAUGGUGAUGGCUACAUUUGAUGAUGUCAUGCUUAUCUUGGUGACAGUGCCUGGCAAAUGUCUUAAAAGAUCCCAAGACAGAAUACAACCACAGUUUCAGUACUGACAAACUGUCCUCUGAAUGACGACC
ensembl:lncRNA